GACGAACGCUGGCGGCGUGCUUAACACAUGCAAGUCGAACGGAAAGGCCCUGCUUUUGUGGGGUGCUCGAGUGGCGAACGGGUGAGUAACACGUGAGUAACCUGCCCUUGACUUUGGGAUAACUUCAGGAAACUGGGGCUAAUACCGGAUAGGAGCUCCUGCUGCAUGGUGGGGGUUGGAAAGUUUCGGCGGUUGGGGAUGGACUCGCGGCUUAUCAGCUUGUUGGUGGGGUAGUGGCUUACCAAGGCUUUGACGGGUAGCCGGCCUGAGAGGGUGACCGGCCACCUUGGGGCUGAGAUACGGCCCAGACUCCUACGGGAGGCAGCAGUGGGGAAUAUUGCACCAUGGGCGGAAGCCUGAUGCAGCAACGCCGCGUGCGGGAUGACGGCCUUCGGGUUGUAAACCGCUUUCGCCUGUGACGAAGCGUGAGUGACGGUAAUGGGUAAAGAAGCACCGGCUAACUACGUG
rnacentral:rRNA from 1 species